AGCAAUUAAACCGCAAGGAAAUGAUGUCACAAAGGUAUUUUCCUCAUAGAAUUUCUCUUUGUCUCUUAGCAAGCAUCCUUCAGGGCAGUAACUCUGGCCAAACACACACGAGCCUGUCCUAAAGAAGCUGAGGACUAAACACCCUUCCUCACACAAAAACCAGAACCUACGAGUGCAAUCUCACUGGACCAUGAGAGAGUUUAACAAAUUAAACAAUUCCAUCCGAACACUACAAACACAGACAUGACCUUCACAUCAGGAACGCUGUGGGGUAGAGGUCCGAAUGCGAGACACGAUGAUAGACGACGCCAGGAAAGGCAAGCAGAGAACCAGAAUCUCCAGACUACAGACGUGGUGCUUAUAAUUCCACCGAGUUUUGGAAAGCUUCUAAAACCCGGAUUCCUAUGUCUUGACACCUGUCAUGUGGAUACUGUUUAAGCCCCACAGGUUUAUGAUGGCUAAGCUGUCCAGAGACAGAGAUGAGACAUCAGUUUUUCCACAGUGAGCCACCCAGGUGCCAUCCUGAGCAAGGCAGCAGCGUCCCUGAGGUGAGGUGCGUGGGCUCUGCCUUCCACCUUCCCCUCUGCAGUGGCCGCACGGCGGGGUGGGGGCACAGCCCAGCUGGUGGGGCACAGCCCAGCUGUGGACAACCCCGUGCUUCCUGGUGUGGCUAGAAUGCUGCUGACAGUGAAACAGGCUCUGUGGUUUGGGACUGAAGGACUGAACAUUUCUUUUGAGAAAAACUAACAUACACAUAAAAUGGACAUCUGCAGUGGGUUUUAAAGGAAUGUCUUGUUAAUUCAAUCUUGGUGUCAGGUUACUCUUUUGACUGAAAAAUUGGUGACCCUUUGGGUCUAUAAUAAAAUGCAAACAUUUUAGUUCCCGAAAGUGUGAUAUUAACUAUGAACUUCAAUGGUUUUUUCAACCAUAAAA